rnacentral:misc_RNA from 1 species
AAGUCGUAACAAGGUUUCCGUAGGUGAACCUGCGGAAGGAUCAUUAACACGUAUCCACGUAUCAACCCUUUGUGCUUUUUACGUUUUGACGUACCUGCCUUAGCGUGCAGACCUUCUGGAUUCACGAGUGUUUGAAUGGUGUAGUGCAUUUGCAUUACUGCCUCGUGUUCUGUUGUGUAGUGUAAUCAACCUUCGCGGUUUUAUGCUAUCUUCUGGUCUUGCAGAGCUUCCGUCGCAGGCAUUUUUGUUAACCAUUCGGCAAACUUUUUUUAACAAACCCUUUGAAAACAUCUUACUAACGAAUCUUUGUCAGCCCUUGGUUGCCUCGGCAAUUCUCAAGGCUUUCAAUUAUUACGAAAUGCUGAACAACUCUUAGCAACGGAUAUCUUGGUUCUC